rnacentral:lncRNA from 1 species
GGAAGAGCCCGGGGCCCGGGAGGGGCCGCCGCUCGGGAUCGGCCGCCAAAAGAGCGUUCCAGCGGGGCGUGCCCGAAGAUCCUUACUCCAUGCGGACUUUACCCGAAAGGCGAUGGGAAACCAUGGAAUAGCUUCUCGGUGGAAGCAGGGUGAUUAGAUAUGUGUUUCGUGUCACCUCUCUGGCUGCAGUGUACAUCCGGCUGGAGUAGCACAGGACUGGAGGCUGGAAGGCAGUCAGAGUCAUCUAGAUGAUGUGCCUGGUUCUGGACAUGUGGAGUUUCGAGAGGACCUCAUGACACUUGGAUGGGAGCAUCGCACAGUUAAUUGCAAGUGUGCAGCUGGAGCAGGAGUGUGGAGAUGGAAGGAGGCAGAUGUUGGAGGCUUCUGCAGAGAGGUGCGAGCAGAAGCUAGAGAGGGAGGACAAGAUAUGCAAGUCAGACAGUAGAAGAUGAGAGAGCAGGCAACGAUCAAGGCUGCUGAAGUAACCUUCUGUCAACAGUUGAAAAUUGGAGUCUACGGCCAUACCACCCUGAACGUGCCUGAUCUCGUCUGAAAAUUGGGAGAAGUGGCAGAUUUGGCUGGAAAGGCAGAUGUUACAGAUAAACUAGCCAAGGUUUUGAUGAGCUUUACAUUCCAGAAUUAAGCUAUGAUUUUUUUCUUCUUCUGUCUUAUAGUUUGCCAUUUUGGAGUGUGUGUGUAGAUAUAUAAAAGUGUGUACACAUACAUACAUUUAAGGAAAAAAGCCUUACUGGUAAUACACUAACCUUAAGAUACAGGAAAAUUCUAGUUGAUUACAAUAUGUAUGUAGUUUUCGUCCUCUUCUUUUAGUAUGUUAC